AACUUCAAUUGAAAGGUCCAAACUAAUUCCAUGUGUAACAGUGAUUGGGUUAAAUCAGUUAUAAAAAGCCCAAAACACAAGUAGUUCUAAAGGCCAGUUCAGUCCUCCUCUUUAGUAACUGACAGUUCCGCCAUGUUGU